ACCUGGCUGGCUCAGUCCAUAGAGCACGCGACUCUUAAUCUCAGUUCAUGAGUUCAAGCCCCAUGCUGGGCA
rnacentral:tRNA from 1 species